rnacentral:rRNA from 1 species
GAUGAACGCUGGCGGCGUGCCUAAUACAUGCAAGUCGAGCGAACAGACGAGGAGCUUGCUCCUCUGACGUUAGCGGCGGACGGGUGAGUAACACGUGGAUAACCUACCUAUAAGACUGGGAUAACUUCGGGAAACCGGAGCUAAUACCGGAUAAUAUAUUGAACCGCAUGGUUCAAUAGUGAAAGACGGUUUUGCUGUCACUUAUAGAUGGAUCCGCGCCGCAUUAGCUAGUUGGUAAGGUAACGGCUUACCAAGGCAACGAUGCGUAGCCGACCUGAGAGGGUGAUCGGCCACACUGGAGCUGAGACACGGUCCAGACUCCUACGGGAGGCAGCAGUAGGGAAUCUUCCGCAAGGGGCGAAAGCCUGACGGAGCAACGCCGCGUGAGUGAUGAAGGUCUUCGGAUCGUAAAACUCUGUUAUUAGGGAAGAACAAAUGUGUAAGUAACGAUGCACGUCUUGACGGUACCUAAUCAGAAAGCCACGGCGAACUACGU